CAGUCGCCGCGGUAAUACAGAGGGUGCGAGCGUUAAUCGGAUUUACUGGGCGUAAAGCGUGCGUAGGCGGCUUCUUAAGUCGGAUGUGAAAUCCCUGAGCUUAACUUAGGAAUUGCAUUCGAUACUGGGAAGCUAGAGUAUGGGAGAGGAUGGUAGGAUUCCAGGUGUAGCGGUGAAAUGUGUAGAGAUCUGGAGGAAUACCGAUGGCGAAGGCAGCCAUCUGGCCUAAUACUGACGCUGAGGUACGAAAGCAUGGGGAGCAAACAGGAUUAGAUACCCCCGUAGUCCCUGUCUCUUAUAU
rnacentral:rRNA from 1 species